AUGAGCCCACCCAGGGGUGCCCUGGCCUCCGGAGGGCUGGCUCCACACCUCCCCUCGGCCCGAGGACACAGCCCCAGUGGCUGCAGCCCUGUGCCCAUCACGCCCAGCAGGUUCCCGCUUGGCGCAGCCCCCGGGGGGCAGGCCCCAGGUCAGCCCAAGUCCGCACCCUCGGUCACUCUGUUCCCGCCCUCCAAGGACGAGCUCAACGCCAACAAGGCCACCCUGGUGUGUCUCAUCAGCGACUUCUACCCGGGUAGCGUGACCGUGGCCUGGAAGGCAGACGGCACCCCCGUCACCCGGGGCGUGGAGACCACCCAGGCCUCCAAACAGGGCAAUAGCAAGUAUGCGGCCAGCAGCUACCUGACCCUGACGGGCAGCGACUGGAAAUCUAAAGGCAGUUACAGCUGCGAGGUCACGCACGAGGGGAGCACCGUGAAGAAGACAGUGAAGCCCUCAGAGUGCUCCUAGGGCCCCGGGCCCCUCUCGCCCUCACCCCCUCCCCAGCCCUCCAUGGACCCCUGGGCCCCCGCCCAGGUCGGCUCAGACCGGGGGGCUCUCCUCCCUCCCUCUUCCUGCUUCUCCUGAAUAAAGACCUUGUCAUUUAUCAGCC